rnacentral:rRNA from 1 species
UUGAAGAGUUUGAUCAUGGCUCAGAUUGAACGCUGGCGGCAGGCCUAACACAUGCAAGUCGAACGGUAACAGGAAACAGCUUGCUGUUUCGCUGACGAGUGGCGGACGGGUGAGUAAUGUCUGGGAAACUGCCUGAUGGAGGGGGAUAACUACUGGAAACGGUAGCUAAUACCGCAUAACGUCGCAAGACCAAAGAGGGGGACCUUCGGGCCUCUUGCCAUCGGAUGUGCCCAGAUGGGAUUAGCUAGUAGGUGGGGUAACGGCUCACCUAGGCGACGAUCCCUAGCUGGUCUGAGAGGAUGACCAGCCACACUGGAACUGAGACACGGUCCAGACUCCUACGGGAGGCAGCAGUGGGGAAUAUUGCACAAUGGGCGCAAGCCUGAUGCAGCCAUGCCGCGUGUAUGAAGAAGGCCUUCGGGUUGUAAAGUACUUUCAGCGGGGAGGAAGGGAGUAAAGUUAAUACCUUUGCUCAUUGACGUUACCCGCAGAAGAAGCACCGGCUAACUCCGUGCCAGCAGCCGCGGUAAUACGGAGGGUGCAAGCGUUAAUCGGAAUUACUGGGCGUAAAGCGCACGCAGGCGGUUUGUUAAGUCAGAUGUGAAAUCCCCGGCUCAACGGGAACUGCAUCUGAUACUGGCAAGCUUGAGUCUCGUAGAGGGGGGUAGAAUUCCAGGUGUAGCGGUGAAAUGCGUAGAGAUCUGGAGGAAUACCGGUGGCGAAGGCGGCCCCCUGGACGAAGACUGACGCUCAGGUGCGAAAGCGUGGGGAGCAAACAGGAUUAGAUACCCUGGUAGUCCACGCCGUAAACGAUGUCGACUUGGAGGUUGUGCCCUUGAGGCGUGGCUUCCGGAGCUAACGCGUUAAGUCGACCGCCUGGGGAGUACGGCCGCAAGGUUAAAACUCAAAUGAAUUGACGGGGGCCCGCACAAGCGGUGGAGCAUGUGGUUUAAUUCGAUGCAACGCGAAGAACCUUACCUGGUCUUGACAUCCACAGAACUUUCCAGAGAUGGAUUGGUGCCUUCGGGAACUGUGAGACAGGUGCUGCAUGGCUGUCGUCAGCUCGUGUUGUGAAAUGUUGGGUUAAGUCCCGCAACGAGCGCAACCCUUAUCCUUUGUUGCCAGCGGUCCGGCCGGGAACUCAAAGGAGACUGCCAGUGAUAAACUGGAGGAAGGUGGGGAUGACGUCAAGUCAUCAUGGCCCUUACGACCAGGGCUACACACGUGCUACAAUGGCGCAUACAAAGAGAAGCGACCUCGCGAGAGCAAGCGGACCUCAUAAAGUGCGUCGUAGUCCGGAUUGGAGUCUGCAACUCGACUCCAUGAAGUCGGAAUCGCUAGUAAUCGUGGAUCAGAAUGCCACGGUGAAUACGUUCCCGGGCCUUGUACACACCGCCCGUCACACCAUGGGAGUGGGUUGCAAAAGAAGUAGGUAGCUUAACCUUCGGGAGGGCGCUUACCACUUUGUGAUUCAUGACUGGGGUGAAGUCGUAACAAGGUAACCGUAGGGGAACCUGCGGUUGGAUCACCUCCUU